rnacentral:rRNA from 1 species
AUUGAACGCUGGCGGCAGGCCUAACACAUGCAAGUCGGACGGUAGCACAGGGGAGCUUGCUCCUCGGGUGACGAGUGGCGGACGGGUGAGUAAUGUCUGGGGAUCUGCCCGAUAGAGGGGGAUAACCACUGGAAACGGUGGCUAAUACCGCAUAAUGUCGCAAGACCAAAGAGGGGGACCUUCGGGCCUCUCACUAUCGGAUGAACCCAGAUGGGAUUAGCUAGUAGGCGGGGUAACGGCCCACCUAGGCGACGAUCCCUAGCUGGUCUGGGAGGAUGACCAGCCACACUGGAACUGAGACACGGUCCAGACUCCUACGGGAGGCAGCAGUGGGGAAUAUUGCACAAUGGGCGAAAGCCUGAUGCAGCCAUGCCGCGUGUAUGAAGAAGGCCUUCGGGUUGUAAAGUACUUUCAGCGGGGAGGAAGGCGAUGUGGUUAAUAACCGCGUCGAUUGACGUUACCCGCAGAAGAAGCACCGGCUAACUCCGUGCCAGCAGCCGCCGUAA